UAUUGGUCAAUGGACGCGAGUCUGAACCAGCCAAGAAGCGUGAAGGAUGACAGCCCUAUGGGUUGUAAACUUCUUUUAUAUGGGAAUANAGUUUUCCACGUGAGGAAUUUUGUAUGUACCAUAUGAAUAAGGAUCGGCUAACUCCGCUCCAUCAGCCGCGGUAAUACGGAGGAUCCGAGCGUUAUCCGGAUUUAUUGGGUUUAAAGGGAGCGUAGGUGGAUUGUUAAGUCAGUUGUGAAAGUUUGCGGCUCAACCGUAAAAUUGCAGUUGAUACUGGCUGUCUUGAGUACAGUAGAGGUGGGCGGAAUUCGUGGUGUAGCGGUGAAAUGCUUAGAUAUCACGAAGAACUCCGAUUGCGAAGGCAGCUCACUGGACUGCAACUGACACUGAUGCUCGAAAGUGUGGGUAUCAAACAG
rnacentral:rRNA from 1 species